AGAUGUGGCCGGCGCUGUGUCCAGGAUGAUAAUGAAUUCAAGGACAAGGGAUAAGAUUUGCUCUCGGAAUAAUGAGGACCUGAGGACCCAACCCCUCAACUGACCCGACUGGGACUUCAACACGGCAGAAGGCCCUCGAGACGGUUAGACAACAGGUCUGGAAUGAGCUGAGAGAGGCCUCUGAAGCGGGAGACACCCGAGUCCCCCACCAGUUCCAGUGCUUAUGGCAGCCAGAAGAGGGCAUCAGAUCCCCCUGGAAUUGGAGCUGCAGUUGUCUGUUGCCUUACGGGUGCUGGGAGUUGAACCUCCAAGAAGAGUGAUGAUGGUCUGGGACCCCGAACCACCAGAGCCAAGACUCCAGUACUCGGCUGAAGACCUGGCAAUUAUUUCAGAGGACCCCAAUAACGCUUUGCUCAGAAAAGAAAACUCUGGUUUUGCUCCGUCAGGAUAAAGAAUCCUACCACAGGAACAAGCACAGACAAUGGCGAAACAAAUGUACCAGUGAACCCACCCACCUAGGAGUAAGCAAAUUAACUCAAUCAGCCUUAGAAGAUCUAAGUAUUACAUUCCAGGACUGAAAUGUCUGGUGGAGCAGGU
rnacentral:lncRNA from 1 species